rnacentral:rRNA from 1 species
UACGUAGGCGGUUUACUAAGUCAGAUGUGAAAGCCCCGGGCUUAACCUGGGAACUGCAUUCGAUACUGGUAGGCUAGAGUAUGGUAGAGGGGGGUAGAAUUCAUAGUGUAGCGGUGAAAUGCGUAGAUAUUAUGAGGAAUACCAGUGGCGAAGGCGGCCCCCUGGACCAAUACUGACGCUGAGGUACGAAAGCGUGGGUAGCGAACAGGAUUAGAUACCCUGGUAGUCC